GAUGAACGCUGGCGGCGUGCCUAAUACAUGCAAGUCGAGCGAACGGACGAGAAGCUUGCUUCUCUGAUGUUAGCGGCGGACGGGUGAGUAACACGUGGAUAACCUACCUAUAAGACUGGGAUAACUUCGGGAAACCGGAGCUAAUACCGGAUAAUAUUUUGAACCGCAUGGUUCAAAAGUGAAAGACGGUCUUGCUGUCACUUAUAGAUGGAUCCGCGCUGCAUUAGCUAGUUGGUAAGGUGACGGCUUACCAAGGCAACGAUGCAUAGCCGACCUGAGAGGGUGAUCGGCCACACUGGAACUGAGACACGGUCCAGACUCCUACGGGAGGCAGCAGUAGGGAAUCUUCCGCAAUGGGCGAAAGCCUGACGGAGCAACGCCGCGUGAGUGAUGAAGGUCCUCGGAUCGUAAAACUCUGUUAUUAGGGAAGAACAUAUGUGUAAGUAACUGUGCACAUCUUGACGGUACCUAAUCAGAAAGCCACGGCUAACUACGUG
rnacentral:rRNA from 1 species